GACGAACGCUGGCGGCGUGCUUAACACAUGCAAGUCGAACGGAAAGGCCCUGCUUUUGUGGGGUGCUCGAGUGGCGAACGGGUGAGUAACACGUGAGUAACCUGCCCUUGACUUUGGGAUAACUUCAGGAAACUGGGGCUAAUACCGGAUAGGAGCUCCUGCUGCAUGGUGGGGGUUGGAAAGUUUCGGCGGUUGGGGAUGGGCUCGCGGCUUAUCAGCUUGUUGGUGGGGUAGUGGCUUACCAAGGCUUUGACGGGUAGCCGGCCUGAGAGGGUGACCGGCCACAUUGGGACUGAGAUACGGCCCAGACUCCUACGGGAGGCAGCAGUGGGGAAUAUUGCACAAUGGGCGGAAGCCUGAUGCAGCAACGCCGCGUGCGGGAUGACGGCCUUCGGGUUGUAAACCGCUUUCGCCUGUGACGAAGCGUGAGUGACGGUAAUGGGUACAGAAGCACCGGCUAACUACGUG
rnacentral:rRNA from 1 species